AUACCGAGCUUGAUCCAAAAGCUCAUUGAAGUUAAUAAAACUUCUCACAUUGAUUUCAAGGGGCUUUGGAUCAUAAGCAAU